CUCCAUGUUCUCAUAACAAAUUAUGCCCCUGGGGGGAAGGGCUCAAUUGGAGAUUGAUCGUUCUCUGGUUCUUUACAAAAUUACGAUCUGUGGAUGAAUGAAUGGACGUAUGAACGGGUGUGACGUAUGGAUGUGGCAGAAGUCGAAUUCUUGGCUAUAGAUUGCGCCACUGCUAAGCAAGAACAAUUGCACCCCUUUCCUUACUGGCCUACAACAGCAACUUGAAAGAAAGUAAAACAAAAGAGAAAUAACACGGUCCGGUGUAAUUCAUGUUAAAGAAAUUUGAAAUAUAUGUUUUUAUUAUUGUUCUGAUGUUAAAAUGUAAGAGAUAAUACUGCUUUUUAAGAAAAAUUAUAUUUCUUUAAAUAUUUCUAGAUACCAUAUGGCUACCUUUCUAAUAACUGGCCUAUCAGAUACACAGCUGUAGAUUCACAAGGUCAGAGUAUGGAUGUUGCUGGUAGAAGUGGCUUAGCACAUUAUUCACUAGUACAGAGAAGGUGGAAAUUGUUUGGAAAUGAAACACAGGAAAGAGAUUUUGUUACUAUGGGCGGAUUACUAUGGUGGGAAGAUCAAAUUAUACUUGGCUGCUAUAAUCUACGUGACUUGAGAGAUGAGGUGAAUAUAAUUUUUUCUUAUACCACAGUUUAUAUACCUUACAAUUUAAAUAUAUAAUUGAAAGUUACUGAGAAAAGUUAGAUUAGUUUGUGAUAUUUGUAGUGAAAUAUUCAUGCAUUGAUGAGUAUUAAAA